GCUACUUGUGAUAUUUGCGGGUGUGGAGAUGAGAAUGAAUUUCAUGCAGUAGUUAGCUACACUAAGAGCAGAGCACUGAGACACAAAAUGAGAGAGGAAUGGGAUUUGCCAGCUGAAAAGCAGUUUUGGAACACUGGAGAGGACUGGCUGCAGGUCCUAUUGAACACGGUUUCAGAGGAUGUGCGUGCAAAUAUUCUGUUGCUGCUUUGGAGAUGUUGGCAUCUGCGGGAUAACUGCGUACAUGGCGACGGCAAA
rnacentral:rRNA from 1 species